rnacentral:lncRNA from 1 species
GUUUCCAAAUAAAAAAAAAAAAUUUAAAGACUUGACAUUAUGUUCAAAAAUAAAAACUUUACGUAGAGCUUUGUAUAUAUAUUUUUUUUUUUUUUCUUUCGCUAUGACGUACAAUUUUACUACUACCGACCAUAACCCGCUCACCAUACAAUUUUCACCAUUCCGAAACUGAUAGCGCUGUGGGAUCUGAAAUGGUUGAUGCAAUACAGUAUUGCAGUGGUUCUCAGUCUUUUCAUAAGUGCACCGAAUUCAAAAUUCAUAAAUUUCAGUAUCACUAACAAAAAUAUCUCGUGUAUACAAGUAGGACUUGUAUACACAAGAUCUUGUGUAUACAGGUACCAUCAAUCUUCUCUCCUGUACCACUGGUUGAGAAUCGUUUCAGUAUUUUAUAUAUACAUAUAUAUAGUAUGGCAAUUUUUAUUUUAUCGUAAUAAACGAUUCCUUUUUUUUAUUCAC